rnacentral:rRNA from 1 species
AUUGAACGCUGGCGGCAUGCCUUACACAUGCAAGUCGAACGGUAACAGGUCUUCGGAUGCUGACGAGUGGCGAACGGGUGAGUAAUACAUCGGAACGUGCCUAGUAGUGGGGGAUAACUACUCGAAAGAGUGGCUAAUACCGCAUGAGAUCUACGGAUGAAAGUAGGGGAUCGCAAGACCUUGAGCUACUAGAGCGGCCGAUGGCAGAUUAGGUAGUUGGUGGGAUAAAAGCUUACCAAGCCGACGAUCUGUAGCUGGUCUGAGAGGACGAUCAGCCACACUGGGACUGAGACGCGGCCCAGACUCCUACGGGAGGCAGCAGUGGGGAAUUUUGGACAAUGGGCGAAAGCCUGAUCCAGCAAUGCCGCGUGCAGGAUGAAGGCCUUCGGGUUGUAAACUGCUUUUGUACGGAACGAAAAGCCCCGGGUUAAUACCCUGGGGUCAUGACGGUACCGUAAGAAUAAGCACCGGCUAACUACGUGCCAGCCGCCGCCGUAA